rnacentral:rRNA from 1 species
GACGGAAGGUGCAAGCGUUGCUCGGAAUCACUGGGCGUAAAGGGCGCGUAGGCGGCCUGUUAAGUCAGACGUGAAAUCCCCGGGCUCAACCCGGGAACUGCGUCCGAAACUGCCAGGCUUGAAUUCGGGAGAGGGAUGCGGAAUUCCAGGUGUAGCGGUGAAAUGCGUAGAUAUCUGGAGGAACAUCGGUGGCGAAGGCGGCAUCCUGGACCGAUAUUGACGCUGAGGCGCGAAAGCCAGGGGAGCAAACGGG